rnacentral:rRNA from 1 species
CGGGUGAGGAAUACAUCGGAAUCUACUCUGUCGUGGGGGAUAACGUAGGGAAACUUACGCUAAUACCGCAUACGACCUACGGGUGAAAGCAGGGGAUCUUCGGACCUUGCGCGAUUGAAUGAGCCGAUGUCGGAUUAGCUAGUUGGUGAGGUAAUGGCUCACCAAGGCGACGAUCCGUAACUGGUCUGAGAGGAUGAUCAGUCACACUGGAACUGAGACACGGUCCAGACUCCUACGGGAGGCAGCAGAU